AAGGAGAAGUCGUAACAAGGUUUCCGUAGGUGAACCUGCGGAAGGAUCAUUGUCGUCUCUAGAACCACCACCGGCGAACCAGUCCCGCGGAAACGCCGCCCGCGGCGCGCGGCCCCCCGGGGACGCGCGUCCCGGCGAGCUCCGAACAGAACCCUCCGGGCGCGGCGAGCGCCAAGGAAUCGAAGCGGAAGGGGCGGCCGCCCCGCCGGGUGCGGGGACGCCGCACCGCGGCGGGGACCCGCCGCCCGUCUGUUGAAUCUUUUAGACGACUCUCGGCAACGGAUAUCUCGGCUCUCGCAUCGAUGAAGAACGUAGCGAAAUGCGAUACUUGGUGUGAAUUGCAGAAUCCCGUGAACCAUCGAGUCUUUGAACGCAAGUUGCGCCUGAGGCCACUCGGCCGAGGGCACGCCUGCCUGGGCGUCACGCCACCCAUCGCGCCCCCUCGGGCAUUCCCAUGCCCCGCCGGGGAGCGGAGACUGGCCGUCCGUGCCCGAGCCCUCGGCGCGCGGUCGGCCGAAAAAGGAGGACACCGUGCGGCGCGACACGGCGUGUGGGGGUUGAGAGGCGACUCGUCGCCGAUCGUACGUCGCGCCCGCAUUCCGCCGCGCGGUGCCGCCCCGUGGGACCGUACCCGCCCGCAUCCGCGGGCGCUCGGACCGCGACCCCAGGUCAGGCGUGGCCACCCGCUGAAUUUAAGCAUAUCAAUAAGCGGAGGAGAAGAAACUUACGAGGAUUCCCCUAGUAACGGCGAGCGAAC
rnacentral:rRNA from 1 species